rnacentral:rRNA from 1 species
UACAGAGGUGGCAAGCGUUGUUCGGAAUUACUGGGCGUAAAGGGCGCGUAGGCGGUUCUGUAAGUCCCGCGUGAAAUCCCCGGGCUCAACCUGGGAACUGCAUUUGUGACUGCAUGGCUAGAGUACGGUAGAGGGGGAUGGAAUUCCGCGUGUAGCAGUGAAAUGCGUAGAUAUGCGGAGGAACACCGAUGGCGAAGGCAAUCCCCUGGACCUGUACUGACGCUCAUGCACGAAAGCGUGGGGAGCAAACAGG